rnacentral:lncRNA from 1 species
GGGAAUUUGGGGGAGCGAGAGAGAGACCAACACCCUGGUGACGAACGUGUGUACGGUGGGGCCCAGCACCGCUGUCCCUACAUGAUGUUUGUUCCGGUUCGCUCAGACAAAGAACACAUGGCGACACCUGAAGACGCGCUAUCAAGAUCCAACGGUCAUCGCAGGUGUGUGCUCGGAACGUUUAGAAUUUAGGAUGUAAUAUAUAUGCCAAUAAAAAAAGUUGCCAGGUUGUUAAAAAAAAGAACGUAAUAUGCCUAGGAAGACUAGCUCACAAUAAUCGGAUCUCACACCCUUAAACCUGCCCUGUCCCUUUGUAAAACAAAAAAAUUCCAUGCCCAUUGCCCCACGGGAGAGCCUACUCCUCUCGGAACUCAUCUAAAGAUUGCAAAGAAACUUUAAACACGCAGACUCCCCAACCAGGUCUCCCCAAUCUUCCUUCUCACCAAAGCUCCUAGAGUCCUGCCCAAUCGAUUGAUCCAUCAACUCAUCGCUCUGACCAAAAUAUUUUGGCAUGCAUAUCUAAGAUUGAUCCAUCAAUAUCACUUCCUGGCCGAUGAAUUUGGAAGUUUCUCCAGUGAAGGAAGAUGCGGCAGGGUACAGUAACGAUCGAGCUUGGAGAUUGUUGUGCACAAGAGCAACGUCAAGCUCCAGGUUCAUUCACGGAACAUCCUCCAAUCUUCCUUCUCAACAAACUCCUACAGUCCUGCCCAAUCGAUCGGUCAUCUGAGGCUCUCCCCAAUCUUCCUCCUUGCCAUAUGCGCAUGUUCUUCCUGUUACAUAUUCGUUUCUCGAUAUUCAUGCCCAAUCUUUGUUUCUUUGCUUUUCUGCUUCAUGUAUAUUGUGUAUUUCAUACGCUAUCAACUCAUCGCUCUGACCAAAAUAUUAUUGCACGCAUAUCUAAGAUUGAUCCAUCAACAUCACUUCCUGGCCGAUGAAUUCUGAAGUUUCAGCAGCGAAGGAAGAUGCGGCAGGGUACAGUAACGAUCGAGCUUGGAGAUUGCUGUGCACAAGAGCAAUGUCAAGCUCCAGGUUCAUUCGCGGAAGUUAUUCAGUCCAAAUAUACCACAAUCUGGAACUUAACGUGGAUGCAGAAAAGCUGUAUGACGAGAACCCAACAAAUAGCCAGUUUUUUUUUCGCGAG